rnacentral:rRNA from 1 species
CGAAAGCCUGACGGAGCAAUACCGCGUGCGGGACGAAGGCUUUUGGGUCGUAAACCGCUUUUGUUAGGGAAGAAGAACUGACGGUACCUAACGAAUCAGCAUCGGCUAACUCCGUGCCAGCAGCCGCGGUAAUACGGGGGAUGCAAGCGUUAUCCGGAAUUAUUGGGCGUAAAGCGUCCGCAGGUGGUUUAUCAAGUCUGCUGUCAAAGCGUGGGGCUUAACCCCAUAAAGGCAGUGGAAACUGAGAGACUAGAGUACGGUAGGGGUAGCGGGAAUUCCCAGUGUAGCGGUGAAAUGCGUAGAUAUUGGGAAGAACACCAGCGGCGAAGGCGCGCUACUGGGCCGAAACUGACACUCAUGGACGAAAGCU